rnacentral:lncRNA from 12 species
CGUCAUACAGAAUAAGCAAACUCAAAAACCCUGCGCAGCCAAAGCAUUCUUGACAGCCAGUGCCGUGCUUAGCUUUAUAUUUAAGAGUGUAGGCUACGUCAGUGACCUCCUGAUGCAGUUUGUCAUCCGUGUACCUCCGAAACACUCAAGAAUGAAGCUCAUACUACAGGCGUGAUUGAUCGCCGUUGUCACACCUCCAGAGCUCCACACACUCCGACAGAUGGGUUUCAUGCAGCAAGAAGUCGCUUCAGUGUGGAAACAAUAGCGAUUCUUACAACGGCAGCCGCUCCAGCAUCUCGUCCUUCACCUGUUUUGGAUUUUUACGGCUCACGGCCCAACAAUUACACAGACUUCAGUGGAUAAGAGGUAUUCUGGUCUUUUCUAGGACAAUGGAGGUGUCAAAGGAUGACAUGCAGAGAUGUGUGAUGAAUUCUUGGAAUUUACAUUCCCCUUUAUAUCUGCACUAUCCUUAGCAAAGAACAGCCCAGUGUAACCAUGGCAACAGCAGCAUCCUCUGAGUAAUGAUUUACAGGGUUUCAGUUUUGAGAGGAAUUCAAAUAAUGGGAUCUCACAGGACAAUGGCAAAGAUUUAGCUAUGACUUUCCAGCCUUGGAUAGCU